ensembl:lncRNA
GUUCUUCACCAUCUUUGUCUGUUCAUUAAUAGCUUCAAGGGGAACAUUAGUGGCUCCUAUUUGCUGAGUAAUAUCACCUGCUUCACCAUCUUGUACAUGAGUAUGACGGAGCUUAUCUAAAAUUUUAGUCUUUCCUGUAUCUACGUGUCCUAGUACACAGAUAACAGGGGCUCUUAAUUUUUCUGUAUUUACGUUUUUGCUAUUUUCAAGUCUCCGUUUCUCAAUUCCCCUCUUUGCUUUAUCAUAGGCCUGCUCUUCUUUAGUUCGGUCAUCAUCUGAGUCAUAUUCAGAGUCAGAGCUGAGUACUUUACUUUGUUUUUUGUCUAUUGAUGGCUUCCCAGUAUCUUUUUCAUCUGAAACCUUUUCUUCUUCAUCAUCACCUUCACUUCCACCACUUUCUCCUUCAUCUUCCUCAUCCUCACUCUCUUCCUCCUCCUCUUCCUCUUCUUCUUCUUCCUCUUCCUCUUCUACUUCAGGGUUUUCUUUUACUUCAAUAUGCACAGUGUUUCUUUCCUUCUCUCUUUCUUCAUCACUAGCCAUUGCUUCCCAAUCAUCCAAACCAGUAUCUUCACUUUCUUCUUCUUCUUCUUCUGGUUCCACAAGAGGCAGGGACUCUUCUUUUUCUGGAAUAGCUUGUUCUGUAACUUCUACUGGAACACUCACUUCUAUUGUUUCUUCUUUAUUUUUUUGUUGUGGCUGUGGUUUUUUCCUCUUUUUAUCUUCAUAUAUUGGCCUCUUCUUUGGCAAAGAAUCUUUAGAUGGCACUUCAACACCCUGAGCUUGGAGAAGUUUAAGAGUAGCCUCAGCUCUAGCUCUGGCUUCUAUCUGGGAUUUCGUCAAAAGCUUGCCUUCCUUUUUCAAUCAUUCUUUUCUUUCUUUUUCUUUUUGCUUCUCUCUUUCUCUCUUUUCUUGCUCUAAUCAUUCCUCUUCCUUACAUUUGGCUUCUAACUCUUCAAGUCAUCGGAUGCGUUCCUCCUCUGCUCUCUUCUGUCUUCUUCUUCUUUAGCCCUUUAGCAAGGGCUUCCUGCAUAGCUUUAACAGUGGCUUUGCUAGGACCUUUUUUCUUUUCUUUCUCCUUUUCUUUCUCCUCCUUUUCUCCUUUCUUUUUUCUCUUAUCUUUCUUCUUUUUGUCACUUUCAUUAUCAUCAGCUUCUGUAGUUGUGAGAGUAUCUCCCUUUUCUUCUGAGGUAGGAGCUGCUCUAGCAUCAAGAUCCACUCUGGAUUUUAAAGCAUCUUCCUCUGGUUUUUUCUGAGUUUCUUUCUGCUUUGUUUGUUCUUUUUUUUUACCACUUUCAGACUCUUCUUUUUCUUUCAAUUUUCUCAAUUGUGCCUUUUCUUCAUCUCUCUUUUUUCAUUCUCGCUCUUUUUUUUCUGCUUUCUUUUGUGCCACUGUUUUUAUUUUGAAAGAAGAGUCAUCAUCUUCAUUCCCACUUUCAACAUGAAGAGCUGAUUUGGUUUUUUGAUUCCUUUUCUGUGCUUUUCUAGACUGAGAAAAGUCAUCAGAGUCAUCACCACUCCCACCUGAUGAAUCUGCUCUAGUCCGGGCUUUACCUUUUUUAAUAGUCCCUUCAUCCUCUUCUGAACCAUCUGCUUCUUUAUUUGAUUUCUGAGUUUUCCCUUUACCUUUCUUAGAAAGUUUAUCAAAAUUAUCAUCUUCACUUCCAGAAAGUGGUUCUAUUUUUGUUCUGGAGGUCUUUCUUGAUUUUGACUCUUUCUCCUCUGCUUCUUCACUAUCAUCAUCCAAACUUUGUUUUUUGCCCUUCUGCCCUUUCUUUUUUUCUUUCUUCCUUAGAAGUACUGAAUUCUUCUUCAUUGUUUUCUGCUGCCUUUACUGCAGUAGUUUCUCGGUCAAUCUUGACUCCCUGUGCUUCUAAAGACAACUCUUCAAUCUCUUUCAUGAUAUCAUCCUCAUCAAAAU